rnacentral:rRNA from 1 species
UACGUAGGGGGGCUAGCGUUGUCCGAAAUCAUUGGGCGUAAAGCGCGCGUAGGCGGCCCGGUAAGUCCGCUGUAAAAGUCAAAGGCUCAACCUUUGAAUGUCAGUGGAUACUGCCGGGCUAGAGUCCGGAAGAGGCGAGUGGAACUCCUGGUGUAGCGGUGGAAUGCGCAGAUAUCAGGAAGAACACCGACGGCGAAGGCAGCUCGCUGGGACGGUACUGACGCUGAGGCGCGAAAGCGUGGGGAGCAAACAGG